AAGUUUUGAGAGAAUACCUAGUGAAGUUAGACGCUGGACAAUACACCUGUCCUGAUCAAUCAAGAUUUGCGAUAAAUUCCAACAAUGCCUUAUGCUAUACCUGUGGACUGAGAAACUUUAAAGAACUAGCAUAUCAAUACAGGAAAGAUAUUCCUAAAGACGACCUUCCUGAGGAUGCUCAAAAGAGACAGGAUUGUUACUGGGGUAAAAAUUGCAGAACACAGAGAACAAGACCUCAUCAUGCAAAGUAU